CCCUUAGAUGUUCUGGGCUGCACGCGCGCUACACUGAAGCGUUCAACGAGUAUUCACCUUGCCCGGGAGGGUUGGGUAAUCUUUUGAAAACGCUUCGUGAUGGGGAUAGAUUAUUGCAAUUAUUAAUCUUCAACGAGGAAUUCCUAGUAAGCGCGAGUCAUCAGCUCGUGCUGAUUACGUCCCUGCCCUUUGUACACACCGCCCGUCGCACCUACCGAUUGAAUGGUCCGGUGAAAUCUCGGGACGGCGGCUUGGUCGCUUGCGUCCGACUGCUGAAACUUGAUUAAACCAUAUCAUUUAGAGGAAGGUGAAGUCGUANCA
rnacentral:rRNA from 1 species